UUUCAGCUUGUUGGUGAGGUAAUGGCUCACCAAGACGAUGACGGGUAGCCGGCCUGAGAGGGCGACCGGCCACACUGGGACUGAGACACGGCCCAGACUCCUACGGGAGGCAGCAGUGGGGAAUAUUGCACAAUGGGCGAAAGCCUGAUGCAGCGACGCCGCGUGAGGGAUGACGGCCUUCGGGUUGUAAACCUCUUUCAGUAGGGAAGAAGCGAGAGUGACGGUACCUGCAGAAGAAGCGCCGGCUAACUACGUGCCAGCAGCCGCGGUAAUACGUAGGGCGCAAGCGUUAUCCGGAUUUAUUGGGCGUAAAGAGCUCGUAGGCGGUUUGUCGCGUCUGCCGUGAAAGUCCGAGGCUCAACCUCGGAUCUGCGGUGGGUACGGGCAGACUAGAGUGAUGUAGGGGAGACUGGAAUUCCUGGUGUAGCGGUGAAAUGCGCAGAUAUCAGGAGGAACACCGAUGGCGAAGGCAGGUCUCUGGGCAUCUACUGACGCUGAGGAGCGAAAGCAUGGGGAGCGAACAGGAUUAGAUACCCUGGUAGUCCAUGCCGUAAACGUUGGGCACUAGGUGUGGGGAACAUUCCACGUUCUCCGCGCC
rnacentral:rRNA from 1 species